CUACGGGCUGCUGCAGUGAGGAAUAUUGCACAAUGGGGGGAACCCUGAUGCAGCAACGCCGCGUGGAGGAUGACGCAUUUCGGUGUGUAAACUCCUUUUAUAUGUCAAGAAAAUGACGGUAGCAUAUGAAUAAGCACCGGCUAACUCCGUGCCAGCAGCCGCGGUAAUACGGAGGGUGCAAGCGUUACUCGGAAUCACUGGGCGUAAAGGACGCGUAGGCGGGUUGGAAAGUCAGGUGUGAAAUCCUACAGCUUAACUGUAGAACUGAACUUGAAACUUCUAAUCUAGAGUAUGGGAGGGGGAGAUGGAAUUAGUGGUGUAGGGGUAAAAUCCGUAGAUAUCACUAGGAAUACCUAAAGCGAAGGCGAUCUCCUGGAACAUUACUGACGCUAAGGCGUGAAAGCGUGGGGAGCGAACAGGAUUAGAUACCCUUGUAGUC
rnacentral:rRNA from 1 species